ACACCCUCUAAUUAACUCACAGACGCCGGACUGUGGACGUCACAUAAUACAGAGAGCUCACAUUCGCGCCACGUUUGGAUCUUGAAUCCAGUGCGACGGGGGACCCACGGGAGUGAGGAGCUGAGAGAAGGAGGAAUCAGUGUAACAAACCAUCUUUCCGGCUCUCUAAAGAUCAAGAGACAAGGCAGCAAAAGGAAAUCCGCGCCAGUCACCCAGAAGAAAACCACAAACAGCAAAACAAGGAACAUCUCUGGGAGUCUCGAGGAGCGCUCUUCUGUCACAAGGCACGCAUCGCGAAAUUGCACCAACAGAGAAUGUC